CCUACGGGAGGCAGCAGUGGGGAAUCUUGCGCAAUGGGCGAAAGCCUGACGCAGCAACGCCGCGUGCGGGAAGAAGGCCCUCGGGUUGUAAACCGCUUUCAGUAGGAACGAAGAUGACGGUACCUGCAGAAGAAGGUGCGGCCAACUACGUGCCAGCAGCCGCGGUGACACGUAGGCACCAAGCGUUGUCCGGAUUUAUUGGGCGUAAAGAGCUCGUAGGCGGUUCGGUAAGUCGGGUGUGAAAACUUUGGGCUUAACCCAAAGCCUGCAUCCGAUACUGCUGUGACUAGAGUUCGGUAGGGGAGCGGGGAAUUCCUAGUGUAGCGGUGAAAUGCGCAGAUAUUAGGAGGAACACCGGUGGCGAAGGCGCCGCUCUGGGCCGAUACUGACGCUGAGGAGCGAAAGCGUGGGUAGCAAACAGGAUUAGAUACCCUGGUAGUCCACGCCGUAAACGUUGGGCACUAGGUGUGGGUCUCAACCAACGAGAUCCGCGCCGUCGCUAACGCAUUAAGUGCCCCGCCUGGGGAGUACGGCCGCAAGGUUAAAACUCAAAGGAAUUGACGG
rnacentral:rRNA from 1 species